GUACCAGCCUGGUUUGGUCCUGGUUCUGGACACAUAUGGCUGGAUGAGGUGGAGUGUGAGGGGAAUGAGACGUCCCUGUGGAGCUGCUCUUCUCCAGGCUGGGGAAAACAUGACUGCAUACACAAGGAGGAUGUAGGAGUCGUGUGCUCAGAGUUUAAAGAGAUCAGGUUAACUGAGGGCUGUCAAGGGAAUCUGGAGGUUUCUACAAUGGAUCCUGGGGUAAUGUGUGCUGGAACCAGAUGGACAGAGACACAGCGAGUCUGAUCUGUCAAGAGCUGAACUGUGGAAGAUCUGGCAGUGAACCCAGUAAUUCAGAGGGACUUAGAUCUACUCCUAAUUGGUUAGAUCUUCUUAUAUGUCGAAAAGAUGACAAAACUUUGUGGCAGUGUCCAUCUUUACCCUGGGGCCAGAACAGCUGUUAUGAAAAUGAGGUGGCCAAUAUCAUUUGCUCUGAGAAAGAGAUUCCUGAGUCUCCACAGAGUCGUCCGACAUGUUCAGCAUCUCCUCACCAGAGACAGUGUUCAAACUAUCUUCCUCUCAGACUGAGUGGAGGG